AGUCGAGGGGCAGCAUUUACUUCGGUAAAUGGCGACCGGCGCACGGGUGAGUAACGCGUAUGCAAUUUACCUUUAACUGGGGCAUAGCUUGAGGAAACUCGAAUUAAUUCCCCAUGGUACAAUAUAUUAUCGCAUGAUAUAAUUGUUAAAGAUUUAUCGGUUAAAGAUGGGCAUGCGUCUGAUUAGCUUGUUGGUAAGGUAACGGCUUACCAAGGCAAUGAUCAGUAGGGGGUCUGAGAGGAUGAUCCCCUACACUGGUACUGAGACACGGAUCAGACGUCUACGGACGGCAGCAGUAAGGAAUAUUGGGCAAUGGGCGUAAGCCUGACCCAGUCAUGCCGCGUGCAGGAUGACGAUUCUAUGGGUUGUAAACUGCUUUUAUAUAGGAAGAAAAUACUCUUGCGAGAGGAUCUGACGGUAUUAUAUGAAUAAGGACCGGUUAACUCCGUGCCAGUAGUCGUGGUAAUACGGAGGGUUCAAGCGUUUUCCGGAUUUAUUGGGUUUAAAGGGUGCGUAGGUGGUUUAUUAAGUCAGUGGUGAAAUCCUGCAGCUCAACUGUAGAACUGCCAUUGAUACUGGUAAACUUGAGUUUGGUUUAGGUAAGCGGAAUUUAUGAUGUAGCGGUGAAAUGCAUAGAUAUCAUAAGGAACACCAAUAGCGAAGGCAGCUUACUGGACCAUAACUGACACUGAGGCACGAAAGCGUGGGUAGCGAACAGGAUUAGAUACCCUGGUAGUCCACGCCGUAAACGAUGCUCACUCGAUGUUAGCGAUAUACUGUUAGCGUCCAAGCUAAAGCGUUAAGUGAGCCACCUGGGGAGUACGCCGGCAAUGGUGAAACUCAAAGGAAUUGACGGGGGUCCGCACAAGCGGUGGAGCAUGUGUUUAAUUCGAUAAUACGCGAGGAACCUUACCUAGGCUAGAAUGCGAGUGACAUCCAGAGAGAUCUGGAGUUCUUCGGACACAAAGCAAGUGCUGCAUGUGUCGUCAGCUCGUGCGUGAGUGUGGUAGUCCCGCACGAGCGCACCCUGUUUUAGUGCAGCAGUAUGUGGGACUCUAGAAGACUGCUGCCUAGCUGAAAGUAGAGGACGACGUCAUCAGCAUGCUUAUGGCUAGUCUACCACGGGCUACAUGGCGAUACGAGGUACAGCAGCAUGUUAGCACCCUAAAGAACGCCUCAGUCCGA
rnacentral:rRNA from 1 species